rnacentral:rRNA from 1 species
UACAGAGGUCCCGAGCGUUGUUCGGAUUCACUGGGCGUAAAGGGUGCGUAGGUGGCUUGGUAAGUUUGAUGUGAAAGCUCAGGGCUUAACCCUGAAAUGGCAUUGAAUACUGCCGGGCUGGAGGUUUGGAGGGGGGACUGGAAUUCUUGGUGUAGCAGUGAAAUGCGUAGAUAUCAAGAGGAACACCAGUGGCGAAGGCGAGUCCCUGGACAACACCUGACACUGAGGCACGAAAGCUAGGGGAGCAAACAGG